UCCUACGGGAGAAAGCAGGGGACCUUCGGGCCUUGCGCUAUCAGAUGAGCCUAGGUCGGAUUAGCUAGUUGGUGAGGUAAUGGCUCACCAAGGCGACGAUCCGUAACUGGUCUGAGAGGAUGAUCAGUCACACUGGAACUGAGACACGGUCCAGACUCCUACGGGAGGCAGCAGUGGGGAAUAUUGGACAAUGGGCGAAAGCCUGAUCCAGCCAUGCCGCGUGUGUGAAGAAGGUCUUCGGAUUGUAAAGCACUUUAAGUUGGGAGGAAGGGCAGUAGGUUAAUACCUUGCUGUUUUGACGUUACCGACAGAAUAAG
rnacentral:rRNA from 1 species